rnacentral:rRNA from 1 species
AUGGCAGCUCCAAGAGCACUCGCCCUCGCCGUCCUGCUGGCGAUCGCUGUCACCAACGCCGAGGCCGCUUCCGUGGUCGUCGGCCUGGCCAAGUGCGCCGACUGCACCAGGAGGAACAUCAAGGCCGAGGAAGCUUUCAAGGGUCUUCAGGUGGCGAUCAAGUGCAAGAACGUCCACGGCGACUACGAGAGCAAGGCAGUGGGUACCCUCGACCGCACCGGCGCUUUCAGCGUGCCCCUGGCCGCCGACCUCCACGGCGCCGACUGCGUCGCGCAGCUCCACAGCGCCGCCUCCAGCGCCCCGUGCCCUGGCCAGGAGCCGUCUAAGAUCGUGCCGGUGUCCGAGGGCACCACCUUCGGCGUCGUCGCCGGCGACAACAUUACCACGCCUUCUGCAGCAGCGUCGCCGGAGUGCGCGUCCAUGACCCUGUGCGGGCCGAUCAAGAAGCACAUCAUCGAGCACUUCCACCACAAGAAGCCCGUGCCGCCCAAGCCGGAGCCCAAGCCCCAGCCCCACCCUGACUACGGCCCCGUGCCCAAGCCCGAGCCCAAGCCGCAGCCCCACCCGGACUACCACCCCGUCCCUCCCACGCCCACCUACGGCGGCGGCGGUGGAUACCACGGACACCACUGA